UUCUCAAAAAAUAUAUUCCCGAUCGAGGCGCAACGGAGCGAUCGCAUCGAUUCCAUCCACUCCGGAUUCGAGGCGCAGAGAGGAGCCGAUUGAUCCAGUCCGGAUUCGAGCACCGCUACGGCCGAGGUGAGGGAUGGAUCGAGUCCAUCCGUGCGCUGGGAUCAAGCGAAGGAUUCGGAUGCAACCGAUGCGCUCGAGCGUCGACGGUGUCGAGCGGAGGCAGGUGAUUCGGGUCCAGCCGAGGCGCCCUAGCGCGCAAUGGGAUCGAGUGCAGAACCGCCGGCGGCGCAAGGAUUAAGGCCGAUGGUCUUCAUCGAGUAACAGUUCAUCGAGGUGGCGAUGCCGAUAGAGAGAGCCUUAGUUAUGGUGUAGGCGGGCGAUUAGUACAAGGAGGCGGUGCAAACGGCUCAAGGAUACAAAGGUGGAUGUGCAGGAUGAAGCGACGGUGUCUCGCUGGUGCGAGAGGAGGAGGCGGGGGGUGACCACUACACUAGCAACCUCGUCGGCGCAAGAGUAACAGUACACAUCGAAAAGCGCCUAGGUAGGACGGUAAUGUCGAGGAUGCAAGGAGGAAGAGGAUAUGUGUGCCGCUCUUUCUUACCAUGAUUGUAUUCUUGGUUCAUUUACAUAUAUGUAUGUGCUCGUAUUUCCCAAAUGAUGACUACAAUUCUUGCAUUUUUUUUGUCAGAUGAUGGUUUGUGUUUGGCUCUCGAGUCUCGUAUCUGUAGUUUCAGUGUAGCAGUUCAUAUUGGUAUCAGCUUUAGCCAUUACGACUGUAGUUUGCAUUAGUGCUUAGCAAUGCUUCAAAUAUCCGACGCCCUCCCCAUGCUGCCUUGCUUCAUUUCUUGCAACCGAGCGGUAUCUGUGGCGGUCGAGCUCCAUCCCAGUGUAGCGCUCUCGCGCUUCCACUCCGCCCGACAGCAAUGUAGGAAUAAUUGGUGAGCAUGAAGAUCCUUCGUUGCUACAUCUGUUCCUACCCCAGCUGUCCAUCGAUUUGGAAGCUACGUGAUGGCUGUUCAACAACCUGGCAAUCAGGCAGUAUCGCCACCGCCCGGCGCCAAUGCACCACGCAAAUUAUUCCUCCCACCUCCUCCAGGCCCAACCUGUUGUCUCACUCGUGCACCGGCUCCUGAUCCGUUCAUUGCCCAGGGCUACGGCUCCCUCUAGGGAACGCUGUUUUACUGGACAAAGUCCAUGAAGGAAAUUGUCUGCGGAUGUGCUGUCAGUACUUGUUGUCAUUUGAAUUCUGUAUGGUGUGCUGCUGUUUUGUAAUUUUGGUAAUGGCUAAAAGUUCCAAUUCUGCAUUACGUGUGUUAUGCAGGGGAAGGCCAGCAAGGUUGACAGUACUCGGGCAUGCUGGUGUGA